rnacentral:rRNA from 1 species
GCGCGUAAAUUGCCCGAAUCCUGACACAGGGAGGUAGUGACAAGAAAUAACAAUACAGGGCUACUUUAGUCUUGUAAUUGGAAUGAGUACAAUUUACAUCUCUUCACGAGGAUCAAUUGGAGGGCAAGUCUGGUGCCAGCAGCCGCGGUAAUUCCAGCUCCAAUAGCGUAUAUUAAAGUUGUUGCAGUUAAAACGCUCGUAGUCGGAUUUCGGGGCCUGCCUGCCGGUCUGCCGAUGGGUAUGCACUGGCAGGCGCGUCCUUCCUUCCGGAGACUGUCCCUACUCUUAACUGAGCGGGGUCGGGAGACGGAUCGUUUACUUUGAAAAAAUCAGAGUGUUUCAAGCAGGCAGCUCGCUCUUGCAUGGAUUAGCAUGGGAUAAUGAAAUAGGACUUUGGUGCUAUUUUGUUGGUUUCGAACACCGAAGUAAUGAUUAACAGGGACAGUCAGGGGCACUCGUAUUCC